AGGACGAACGCUGGCGGCGUGCUUAACACAUGCAAGUCGAGCGAUGAACUCUCUUCGGAGGGGGAUUAGCGGCGAACGGGUGAGUAACACGUGGGCAACCUGCCCUCAGCUCUGGGAUAACUCCUCGAAAGAGGGGCUAAUACCGGAUACGACUUCCUGCGGCAUCUUGGGAAGUGGGAAGUUUUUCGGCUGAGGAUGGGCCCGCGGCCUAUCAGCUUGUUGGUGGGGUAAUGGCCCACCAAGGCGACGACGGGUA
rnacentral:rRNA from 1 species